rnacentral:rRNA from 1 species
GACGAACGCUGGCGGCGUGCUUAACACAUGCAAGUCGAACGGUAAGGCCCUUCGGGGUACACGAGUGGCGAACGGGUGAGUAACACGUGGGUGAUCUGCCCUGCACUUCGGGAUAAGCCUGGGAGACUGGGUCUAAUACCGGAUAGGACCACUGCCUGCAUGGGUGGUGGUGGAAAGCUUUUGCGGUGUGGGAUGGGCCCGCGGCCUAUCAGCUUGUUGGUGGGGUGAUGGCCUACCAAGGCGACGACGGGUAGCCGGCCUGAGAGGGUGACCGGCCACGCUGGGAGUGAGAUACGGCCGAGACUCCUACGGGAGGCAGCAGUGGAGAAUAUUGUAGAAUGGGCGCAAGCCUGAUGCAGCGACGCCGCGUGAGGGAUGACGGCCGUCGGGUUGUACACCUCUUUCAGCACCGACGAAGCGCAAGUGACGGUAGGUGCAGAAGAAGGACCGGCCAACUACGUGCCAGCAGCCGCAGUAA